UACGUAGGUGGCAAGCGUUGUCCGGAUUUACUGGGCGUAAAGAGCGCGCAGGCGGUCGUUCAAGUCGCGUGUGAAAGCCCCCGGCUCAACUGUGGAGGGUCACGCGAUACUGAUCGACUCGAAGGCAGGAGAGGGUAGUGGAAUUCCCGGUGUAGAGGUGAAAUUCGUAGAUAUCGGGAGGAACACCAGUGGCGAAGGCGGCGACCUGGGCCAAUACUGACGCUGAGGUGCGAAAGCGUGGGGAGCAAACAGG
rnacentral:rRNA from 1 species